AUGGAAGGGAUGAUGUUUUCCCCAGAUGAUCGAAACUGAAAUUAUUGAGCGCUGUUCUCAUUAUUGAGAAAUCCAAGCCAGGAAUAUCUGAUCCAU